CCUACGGGAGGCAGCAGUGAGGAAUAUUGGUCAAUGGCCGGAAGGCUGAACCAGCCAAGCCGCGUGAAGGACGAAGGUGCCAAGCAUUGUAAACUUCUUUUGUCAAGGGACAAAAUCAGGCUCGAGAGCCUGACCGAGGGUACUUGAAGAAAAAGCAUCGGCUAACUCCGUGCCAGCAGCCGCGGUAAUACGGAGGAUGCGAGCGUUAUCCGGAUUUAUUGGGUUUAAAGGGUGCGUAGGCGGACAGUUAAGUCAGCGGUAAAAGCCCGGGGCUCAACCCCGGCAAGCCGUUGAAACUGGCUGUCUAGAGAUGUCGAGAGGUAUGCGGAAUGCGCAGUGUAGCGGUGAAAUGCUUAGAUAUUGCGCAGAACUCCGAUUGCGAAGGCAGCAUACCGGCGGCGAUCUGACGCUGAGGCACGAAAGCGUGGGUAUCGAACAGGAUUAGAUACCCCUGUAGUC
rnacentral:rRNA from 1 species